rnacentral:misc_RNA from 1 species
UCUUGCCGGCGCCACGGGC